AUGUCCCUCUUGGCGCCUCACCUGGGGCAGCAGCAGGUGUGGCGGGCACAGGGGCUCGGCGCCAAGGACCCGCUGGAGGACGACUUGCAUGGCUGCGGCCUGCAGCACGAAGGGGGUGGGCGGCGGUGGCCGCUCCUUCAUCUCAUGCUUCAGGACUCGCCGCACCUGCUCGGUGUCCUGUGGGGCCACGUGUGCGACGCUGCCCCAGCCCCUGGCGCUGACCGGCCAUGGCGGCCGAGGCGGAAACUGGAACCCAGGGUCGAGGCUCUUUGUGCACCCUCCCAACCGAGUCUUGCAGCUGCAGGUGUGUACACAUGUUCCAGUUCCUCUCCCCAGGGAGAGCAGGAGGUCCACUGGCCAACACUUAUUAAGCACCUGGUGGCGUCAUCCGCCGGCAUGUAUUGAGAACUUUUACUACAACCUGGGUGCAUACCAAGGGCUUAAGCCAGUGGUGUGUAGAUUUGGAGCUGCUACUUACUUAGGUAAGAGCUACUAG
rnacentral:lncRNA from 13 species